rnacentral:tRNA from 1 species
UCCAGAGUGGCGUAGUGGUUUGAGCGCUGGACUACAACUCUGGAAACCAGGGUUCGAUUCCCGACUCAGUCG